rnacentral:rRNA from 1 species
AGAGUUUGAUCAUGGCUCAGGACGAACGCUGGCGGCGUGCUUAACACAUGCAAGUCGAACGAUGAAGCCCAGCUUGCUGGGUGGAUUAGUGGCGAACGGGUGAGUAACACGUGAGUAACCUGCCCUGGACUCUGGGAUAACUUCGGGAAAUCGGAGCUAAUACCGGAUAGGACCUUUCACCGCAUGGUGGGGGGUGGAAAGUUUUUCGGUUUGGGAUGGACUCGCGGCCUAUCAGCUUGUUGGUGAGGUAAUGGCUCACCAAGGCGUCGACGGGUAGCCGGCCUGAGAGGGUGACCGGCCACACUGGGACUGAGAUACGGCCCAGACUCCUACGGGAGGCAGCAGUGGGGAAUAUUGCACAAUGGGCGCAAGCCUGAUGCAGCGACGCCGCGUGAGGGAUGACGGCCUUCGGGUUGUAAACCUCUUUCACCAGGGACGAAGCGCAAGUGACGGUACCUGGAGAAGAAGCACCGGCCAACUACGUGCCAGCAGCCGCGGUAAUACGUAGGGUGCGAGCGUUGUCCGGAAUUACUGGGCGUAAAGAGCUCGUAGGUGGUUUGUCGCGUUGUUCGUGAAAACUCACAGCUUAACUGUGGGCGUGCGGGCGAUACGGGCAGACUAGAGUACUGCAGGGGAGACUGGAAUUCCUGGUGUAGCGGUGGAAUGCGCAGAUAUCAGGAGGAACACCGGUGGCGAAGGCGGGUCUCUGGGCAGUAACUGACGCUGAGGAGCGAAAGCGUGGGGAGCAAACAGGAUUAGAUACCCCGGUAGUCCAA